UUGGACUGUAGAUAAAAAAUUUAAUUUUUGAUAGAAAAACAACUUGAUAUAGAAAUUGAAGUUACCUUUUUGGAGUUGGUUUGUUUUGCUAUAAUUUGCAAAGAAAACUGAAUGAUUAUCCAGAGAAUCUAGACGGUUUUUAUAGCAAAUACUUUCCUAAUGAAUUAAUAUGACAGUACAAAAGAGUGUUAAUUAGUGUGCUGCACGACUUUUUGUUCAUUAAUUGUAAACCGAAAAGCUGGAGAAGAUAAGGAAUAUUAAAAUUGUAAACAAUUUUAAAAGCAAUUAGAAUUUAAGGUAGUAAACUAGUUUUUAGAAAUCUCGUUUUAACUUGAUGAAGCUAAUGUUGGUCUCAAUUGGCUAUAAAGGCUUUGUAAAUUGUCCCAUACAAUACAGUUUUCCUAAGGAAUCUUAACAAACCAAAACUCUUUCUCAGCAAAAGCAACAUGAAAUCCUUUUAUGCUUCUAUUGUUAUAGUCAUCAUGGGUCUCUUGGCAAUUACUUCUGCCGAUCCUGAACCUCAAUGGAAUGCAGACACAAUUUCUAAAUUGAUUAAAGCCUUCCAGGGUUCAGAGAACUAAAACACCUAUGCAAUAUGCCAUGAAAAAUCAAAUAAAAUGCAAAAUAUUGAA